rnacentral:rRNA from 1 species
UACGUAGGGGGCGAGCGAUGUCCGAAUUUACUGGGCGUAAAGCGCGUGUAGGCGGCUCUUUAAGUGAGAUGUGAAAUUUUGCGGCUCAACCGCAAAACUGCAUCUCAAACUGGAGGGCUUGAGUUUGGGAGAGGAGAGUGGAAUUCCUGGUGUAGCGGUGAAAUGCGUAGAUAUCAGGAGGAACACCCGUGGCGAAGGCGGCUCUCUGGCCCAACACUGACGCUGAGACGCGAAAGCUAGGGGAG